CACUUUGUUACUGCAGCUGUAUUUACUCUUACACCUUUAGGGAUUUAAUUGCAUCCAUCCCCAGUCUUUCAGCUGAGUGAAACACGGCAUUUCUCAGUGCGUUCCUCUGCCUCCACUGAAAAGGUCUCUCCAGCUCUGCCAGUGGGGAGAGCAAUUUGUCACUGUUUGGCCCAGCACCGCUCUUCAGGAAGCUCUUUGGUGUGAGCCAAAAUGUGGAGUUGCAGACCCAUCCAUCAGGACAAGCUGUUGGGUAAGUUGUUGUCUUCCAAAUGGAGUUCAUAAUGGGCAAAGAGGUUUAAUUAAUGCUUCAGAGUAAUGCGUCUGUUUAUAAAGAAAUAAUGUACUAUAAAAUUAGGCAAUGCGUAGUGAAAUGUACCUCCUAAUGGCUAGGCUGGCAUUUUAAGUGAUCAGUAAAUCACUUAAAUAUUA
rnacentral:lncRNA from 1 species